AGCGAACGCUGGCGGCAGGCCUAACACAUGCAAGUCGAACGAAGUCUUCGGACUUAGUGGCGGACGGGUGAGUAACACGUGGGAACGUGCCUUUAGGUUCGGAAUAACUCAGGGAAACUUGUGCUAAUACCGAAUGUGCCCUUCGGGGGAAAGAUUUAUCGCCUUUAGAGCGGCCCGCGUCUGAUUAGCUAGUUGGUGAGGUAAAGGCUCACCAAGGGGACGAUCAGUAGCUGGUCUGAGAGGCUGAUCAGCCACAUUGGGACUGAGACACGGCCCAAACUCCUACGGGAGGCAGCAGUGGGGAAUCUUGCGCAAUGGGCGAAAGCCUGACGCAGCCAUGCCGCGUGAAUGAUGAAGGUCUUAGGAUUGUAAAAUUCUUUCACCGGGGACGAUAAUGACGGUACCCGGAGAAGAAGCCCCGGCUAACUUCGUGCCAGCAGCCGCCGUAACAC
rnacentral:rRNA from 1 species